CAGGGCCGCAAGGUUGGUGGGGCCGACCCUCUCGUACCCGGGCGGCCGCGGGGCAUGCUGGGAGUUGUAGUUCGAUGUUGGUUUAGGGUUUGGGGCGUGGAGGCUCCAAAGUCUAGGUUUGACUUCAGCCUGCCCCUGAUAGAUAGUUCCCGGGCCGCAGGUGACCCGUUAUUGACUGCCGUUAAGGACCGUUACUAUUCUCGGGUAAGUGAGAGAGACAGGCCCGCGGGUGCGACUUGCCGGGACCCGAAGGUCCGGCCCCUUCUCAGAGGGGACUUUCCUGCUAGAAGCCAGAUGGGCUUCUGGCAGCUUUACUCACGGGAUUCUAGACAGCCCCAGGUCGUUGGCAAUUUAAGGCCUCAUGAGAGGAGACAGGAUUGUAGUGUGCAAAAAAACUGCCUCCGAGCCUGGAGACCCGACUGUUCGGCAUGCAGGGCUUGCUGCAUCUUGACCUCCAGAUACCGAGGUAUUGGUCUCUACAGAGCCCUUCUGCACAUAUUGUCCCUUUUAUUUCCUGAUGUAUACCCACAAGAGCCUUCCACUAUUUAAUGGGCAUAUGAUCUUAUCAACAAGCUUAGAAUGUAGUUGCCAUCAUUCCCCUUUUUCGCAGACGUUAAAAACAAAGUGGCCCAGAGAGGUUGGUAAAUCAUUCAGUCGUAUAGCUAGUAAGUGGCAACUAAGUAUACAAAUUUGGAUCUGUCUGCCUCUAAGCCCUCUAAAUUCGUUACCAUCACAAAAUUCCCAUUGUCUGUUCCAGGCAUCCACCUAAGGAAAUCAGUUAUUAGAAGAUAAUCUGCAGCAUCUUAAUUUUUAGACUCGAAUGUUUCAGUCCCUUGGAUCUCACUUCUUUGAGUAAUCUCACCGAGUCUUGUAAAUAGAGCACAAAGACGUGGUUCCCCUUCUCAGAGAUUUCCUGUUCUGAUUGGGUGUUGAGGGAAGGACUAGUUCUUACCAUGAGAGAGUUGUGUGGCCAAAAAGGGAAAUGAUCUUUGCCUUUGUGAAACUCAACAUGAGAAGAAGGACAGGGUAGGAAGAAACAGUUUCCAUCUGACUCAGGGAAAGAAAACCAAAUAAAAUAUAAAGCUAAAUAUAGUCAGCUCUUCUUAUAUUAGUCGGAGAAGCAGAAAAGUAAAUAUGAUCCAAAGCUGCAUAUAAAUCCCAGUCAUUUAUACUUGACUUUGGAAGGAAGUCAAAGCUGCCUACUUGAGCUGAGAUCUGUCACCACACUCAUCUCUCCAGGGUCAAGACUGCUGUCAACAUGAUGUCAUAUAUGCAACUGCAGGGGAAGGGAAGUUCUGAGAUUAUAAUAGUAAAGCCUCACAUGUGUUAGAUGGGUUUAAUUUGUCUAAAUGUUUUAUCUACUUUAGCACAUAUGACCUUGUGAAGUAAACAGGGAAGGGGCCUUGAAGAAACCAGUACAUGCCAAAAAAAAAAAAAAAAAUGACUGAUACCCAAUGGCAGAGCUUGGGCCAGAACUCACACUGGUAUUCUAAUUCUGAGCCCUGUGUUUUCUUUCCCCACAGACAUACAAAGAUUGAAUGAACACUAAUGAAGCAUGACCAAGGAAGAGGGAUUAUAGGGAAGAAGGUACUGGUUUCUAUGAACACUGCCAUUCUUGUAGUUCAAAGCCUAAGCAAGAUACUUAGCCUUACAUUUUAAUGUAAACAGCAGUUUUUUGCUCAGUUAAGAGUUUUUCUGGGAGGUAGGCAAGCAGUGUUGCUGUCAUGACCAAGCUGAGUAAAAGCCUAAGCCCAAAGUUAGGAAUAGAGCACCACUGAGAACUCUGAGUUAGAAGGUACCUGGAGGCGCUUACUUGCUUUCUCUUGGAUUGUUCAAGUUAUAACCCUCACUUAGAUUUAAAAAAAAAUUUUUAGUUGUAAACACAACACCUUUAUUUUUAUUUAUUUAUUUUUAUGUGGGGCUGAGGAUCGUACCCAGUGCCUUGCACAUGCCAGGCAAGUGCUCUACCAAUAAGCCACAACCCUAGCUCCUUCACUUAGAUUUUGUAGGAUCCAUGAUUUAUCAAUCAUAGAAUUGAAUUUGUAGGUAGUAAGUAUAGCCAGCCACAGUGGUGCACACCUAUAAUCCCAGUGACUUGGGAGGUUGAGGCAGGAGGAUCACAAAUUCAAAACCAGCUUCAGCAAAUUAGCAAGCCCCUCAGCAACUUAGUGACUUGACCCUGACUCAAAAUAAAAAAGGGCUGGGCGUGUAACUCAGUAGUAAAUACCCUUGGAUUCAAUCCCCCAUACAAGAAAAAAAAAUAGUAUAUGUGAUCUCUUCUUAAUUAAAUAUUUUUUAAAAGUUUUUUUUUGGCUAUAAUCCCAGCAGCUCUAGAGGCUGAGGCAGGAGGAUUGCAACUUUAAAGCCAGCUUCUGUAACUUAGUGAGAUCCUGUCUCAAAAUAAAAAGGGUAGGGAUGUAGCUUAGUGUUAAAGUAUACCUAGGUUCCAUCCCCAGUACUGCAAAAAAAAAAAAAUUAAAGAAAAUCCUUUUUUGUUUUGUUUUGUUUUUGUGGUGCUGGGAUGGAACUCCGUGUCUCUAAUAUGCUAGGCAAGCAAUAUACUACUAAGCUACAUCCCCAACCCUGCCACUUAUCAUCUGAUGCCUAAGUUUACAUUUUGUUUUAUAGUCAAAUUAGCAAAGAAUGAUCACCCAAAGCCAGAGUUUCUAAAUUGGGUUUAAGGAUGAUUUCCAUGGGAUUCCAAGAGUUUUUGUAUGUGUUCUUUCUCACUUGCCUAUAAAAGAGCUUUCCACUUUCAGAUAGCUGUAAUUGCUGAAAAGUUGGCCAUUUCUGCCUUAUGCAGUUAUGCAGAAAUAUGUAAUCUUGUGUCCUUGUAGAUAGUUGCUACACUUUCUGCAAAUAUUAUCUAGCUCUCUAAAAUUCUUUCUAUUUUUCAAGGUAAAACAAUCCCAACUCUCUGAGCUUAUCACAUGAGAAUGGUGGAACUCUUCCUUCUGGUUCUGCUGGUUCGUUCUCCCACCCAUUCUGGCAGGAACAUCAUAAGAAGAUAGUAGGUAGUGAGGUACAGCAGGGCUCAGAGGCAUGGCUGGGGAACAUGCCCAUGAAACUUGAGCUUACAGAUUCUGAAAUUUUCUCCUAGUUGUAAAUACCUCCAUUAUCUCUUCAUGAUUGUUUUUGGAGGCAGCAGAGUAUAGUGGUUAGGAGUAUAGGCUCCAGAAAGUGACUCCCUGGGUUCUAAGUCCUGGCUGUAUCUCUGAUUAAUUAAUGGUUUCAAUGUCAUAUAUAUUCAAUAUCAGGGUACAGUGGCACACGCCUGUAAUCCCGGUGACUCAGGAGGCUGAGCAAAGGGGACGGCAAAUUUGAGGCCAGCCUGGGCAACUUAGCAAGAGCCUGUCUCAAAAUAAGAAGGACCAUAUAUAAUUCAAUAAAAGAGUUGGGGGUGAAGCUCAGUGUUAGAGCACCUCGGAGUUUAAUCCCUAGUACUGCGAAAAUAAUUUUUUUAAUUUAAAAAAAUAAAAGGGACUGAACAUGAUGGUGCUCACUUGUAAUCUCAGAGACUCAGAAGACUGAGGCAGGAGGAUCACAAAUUCAAGGCCAGCCUCAGCAACUUAGCAAGGCCCUAAGCAAUUUAGCAAGACCCUGUCUCAAAAUAAAAAUGGCUGGGUGUGUAGCUCAGUGGUAUAACACCCCUGGGUUAAAUUCCUAGUGCCAUUUAAAAGGGGGGGAGGCUGAGAAUGCAGCUCAGUGGUAGAAUACCCCUGGGUUUGAUCCCUAGAACAACAAAUAAAGAAAAGGAAGGAAGGAAGGAAUAGUUGCUCAUAGUGUCCAUUAUUAUUUUUUUUUUAAAGAGAGAGAGAGAGAGACAUUUUUAAUGUUUAUUUUAUUUUUUUUAGUUUUUGGUGGACACAACAUCUUUGUUUGUAUGUGGUGCUGAGGAUUGAACCCGGGCCGCACGCAUGCCAGGCAAGUGCGCUAUCGCUUGAGCCACAUCCCCAGCCCCUAGUGUCUAUUAUUGAUUGCAGUCCUUGAUAUACUCCCAGCAUAUCAGAGAUAAUCCUUUCUUGUAGGCAUAGGAAGGAUGAGCCUGGUUGUGAUUCAUAUAUUCUAUAUCUUAGAGCACUCAUAACAUGUUAGGUUCCAUGGCCAGAACUGGAGAAUCAGGCAUAGGAUAACAGUUCCUGCCCUGGGUUCACUCCACGAAUUGGUAGGUAUCCAGACUAAUAGUUACAGUGCAGUACAUAAGGGAACGUGGAUUCCAGCAGGAGCCCAGAAGAGGGUUCCCUAACCUGAGGAAAUGACAGCUGAGCUGAGUUUUCCAGGGAAAGCAUACAGGUAGAUGUUCUAGGCAGAAGGUGUGAAAGUGCAGAUGCCUGAGAGAAAGGUAUUUUUGAGGUACCACAAUGAGAAUGAUGAGACUGGAGGUUGGAGUGUAAGGAUCAUUUUGGAAGUUGAGAUUCAAGAAGCAAGCAGGAGUUGGGACAUGGGACAGGAGUUUGGCCUUCAUCCUAAAGACAUGGAGGCCACUGAUGGAUUUUUAGCUGGGGAGAAAUAGGAUAAAAUUUUUGUUGGCUAAAGGUCAUACUGGUCAGCAGCCUGCCUGUUCAAGGCAAGAGCAUUUUUUUGCUGUGAAGAAUGAGGGCCAGUGGAUUCAGUGUGCAAUAAAGGAUAGGAAAAUGGCCUUUUGCAUUUUCUUCUCUCCCCUGGAUCUUGAUUCAUCAAGAAGGCACUCCUUGCUUCCUGAGAUACAGCCCGGACACCUAGGCCUGUAACACAGUGGGCCCAGCCUUCUUGAUGCUGUGGUUUUAAGAGUGUGACAGGCAUUUCCUGCCCAAAAGGCACUUAAGGUAAAAUCAGAAAGACCAGAUGCACUUAAAAAUAAAAUAACAGGGGCUGGGGAUAUAGCUCAGUGCCACAGCUCUUACUACCAUGUGAUAGGCCUUGGCUUGAUCCCUGGUACCAUCAAAAUAAAAAAAUUGAGCUAAAAGGUAAGUGAAGUUGAGGGUAGGAGUACAUAUCUUUGGGGCAGGGUUGUAUCAAGGGGAAGAUUCCUGAAGACAGCAGACUUUGAGAUUGGCUUUGAAGCUGUUUAAGCUCUGGAUUCUCCAUUAUAGUUUCUGCAGGCCUUAUGAACUCCCUCCUGAGUUUAAGUCACAAUUGCAGCCUUACUUUUGUUUGUGUGGUUAUUAGAAUUGUGACCAUUUUCCCCCACAAACCCUUAGGUUUUAUGAGGUUGGAUUUUCCUCACCUCUGUAUCCAUUGAGCCAGCACACAGUAAACCUUCAAUUAAUAUUUGCUGGAUAAGGCUGGGGGUAUAACUCAGUGGUAGAGCCCUCCCUAGCAUGUUUGAGGCCCUGGGUUGGAUCCCCAGCACUGUGUGAAAAAGAAAAAAAUUGUUGGAUUAAUUAACGUGUGAGUGAGCAAAUGAGAAAAUGGUGAGAAAGAGGGAAUGAAAUCUUCAGGAUAGAAAAAUAUAAUAAACAAAGGGCAGGGGCAGAAACAGUAUAUUGAUCUCUUAUGUUUGUACAGUGCUUUAUUGCUCAAAAACGUCACCAUCUUAUUUGAUCUCUAUUGUCAACUAUCUUGAAAUGAUUAAGACAGGUGUUAUUCCUGGUUUACAAUGAGAAAAGAAAGAAGUUCAGUGAUUUGUCCAAAGUUUCACUGCUAUUAAGUAAGGAGAUCAGACUUGAACCUGAAUAUUUUAACACAAAGCUGGUGUAGUAACUUGAUUUCCUUUCUUCUUUCUCCUUUCCCAAGGGGAACAUACAGUGAGAUAUGGGUCUAGAGUGGUGAUCUGGCCAGGUCAUGGAAAAUCUUAAGUUUCAGUCUAAGGAAUUUGGACUUUAUCCUCCAGCCUAUGGGAGGUUUUUUGUUUCAUUUUGAGUUUUUGAAAGAUUUUGUGUAUUUAUUUAUUUGCAUUAUUGAAGAUUGAACCCAGGCCCUUAAGCAUGCUAGACAAGUGCUGUACCACUAUGCCACAUCCCUAGCCCUUUUUGUUUUUUUCAGGGUCUCACUAAGUUGCCCAGGCUGGCUUACAAUGUGAUCUUCCUGCCUCAGCUCCCAAGUAACUGGGAUUACAAGCGUCCACCACUGCACCUGGCUUAGAAGAUAUCAAAUAAAGGAUAAAUAUUAAUGGUAUUUGUGAAGUGUGGUAUAAAUUUAAUUGCAUAUUAAUAUUUAUUUAUUUAUUUUUUUAAAUAUUUAUUUUUUAGUUCUUGGCGGACACAACAUCUU
rnacentral:lncRNA from 1 species